AUACGGAGGGUGCAAGCGUUAUUCGGAAUCACUGGGCGUAAAGGACGCGUAGGCGGGUUGGCAAGUCAGAUGUGAAAUCCUACAGCUUAACUGUAGAACUGCAUUUGUAACUGCUAACCUAGAGUAUGGGAGGGGGAGAUGGAAUUAGUGGUGUAGGGGUAAAAUCCGUAGAUAUCACUAGGAAUACCGAAAGCGAAGGCGAUCUCCUGGAACAUAACUGACGCUAAGGCGUGAAAGCGUGGGGAGCAAACAGGAUUAGAAACCCUAGUAGUCC
rnacentral:rRNA from 1 species